AUAUCAAUAAGCGGAGGAAAAGAAACCAACAGGGAUUGCCUCAGUAACGGCGAGUGAAGCGGCAAAAGCUCAAAUUUGAAAUCUGGCACCUUCGGUGUCCGAGUUGUAAUUUGAAGAAGGUAACUUUGGAGUUGGCUCUUGUCUAUGUUCCUUGGAACAGGACGUCACAGAGGGUGAGAAUCCCGUGCGAUGAGAUGCCCAAUUCUAUGUAAAGUGCUUUCGAAGAGUCGAGUUGUUUGGGAAUGCAGCUCUAAGUGGGUGGUAAAUUCCAUCUAAAGCUAAAUAUUGGCGAGAGACCGAUAGCGAACAAGUACAGUGAUGGAAAGAUGAAAAGAACUUUGAAAAGAGAGUGAAAAAGUACGUGAAAUUGUUGAAAGGGAAGGGCUUGAGAUCAGACUUGGUAUUUUGCAAGCCUUACCUUCGUGGUGGGGUCCCCUGCAGUUUACUGGGCCAGCAUCGGUUUGGAUGGUAGGAUAAUGACUUGGGAAUGUGACUUUGCUUCGGUAAAGUGUUAUAGCCCUUGUUGAUACUGCCUGUCUAGACCGAGGACUGCGUCUUUGACUAGGAUGCUGGCAUAAUG
rnacentral:rRNA from 1 species